rnacentral:lncRNA from 1 species
AUUUGCCCCACUUCCUGCUCAUAGUCUUCCUCUAAAGGGUUGUGGGGUUGAUUAAUGCCAAUCCCUCUCUCCUCUUAGUAAUGGUUAUAGCCCCUCAGUUAUUCAGGAUCAAGCACAAGCAGUUCAAUGUGGUUGGUGUUCAAUGUGUUUGGUGGAGAAGGAUGUUCAAGAACUGCUGAGGGCACAAAGGAGGAGGAGAGUGUCAGAAGGAAAGCUUGGUGGAGAUCACCUUGGAGCUGGGUCUUGAUGAUGGCACCCAGUCUGGAUGUGAAACAUCUGCAUCCCUCUGGUCUCCUCUCUAUGCUCCCUCUGCUCUUCUCCAAGACAGCUUCUGGGGAAACAGCUCCUGGGGGAAGGUCCCCACCCACUGGAGGACAUCAAUGGCCUCCACUUCUUG